GAUGAACGCUGGCGGCGUGCCUAAUACAUGCAAGUCGAGCGAACAGACGAGGAGCUUGCUCCUCUGACGUUAGCGGCGGACGGGUGAGUAACACGUGGAUAACCUACCUAUAAGACUGGGAUAACUUCGGGAAACCGGAGCUAAUACCGGAUAAUAUAUUGAACCGCAUGGUUCAAUAGUGAAAGACGGUUUUGCUGUCACUUAUAGAUGGAUCCGUGCCGCAUUAGCUAGUUGGUAAGGUAACGGCUUACCAAGGCAACGAUGCGUAGCCGACCUGAGAGGGUGAUCGGCCACACUGGAACUGAGACACGGUCCAGACUCCUACGGGAGGCAGCAGUAGGGAAUCUUCCGCAAAGGGCGAAAGCCUGACGGAGCAACGCCGCGUGAGUGAUGAAGGUCUUCGGAUCGUAAAACUCUGUUAUUAGGGAAGAACAAAUGUGUAAGUAACUAUGCACGUCUUGACGGUACCUAAUCAGAAAGCCACGGCUAACUACGUG
rnacentral:rRNA from 1 species